rnacentral:tRNA from 1 species
GUCUCUGUAGCUCAGAAGGAUAGAGCACUGGAUUCCUAAUCCAGGGGUCGCAGGUUCGAAUCCUGCCAGAGACACCA